rnacentral:RNase_MRP_RNA from 1 species
CGGUGACGAGAAGUGAAACACUCGCAGCACCCUACCGGUCCAUCCAUGUGGCCGUCCUUAGGCUGUGUGAGAAAGUCCCUGAACCAAGGGCCGAAAGGGUAAUAAGAACAAAUUGAUUGUUCGUCUGACCACCAUUAGCUGGUGCAGCCGGUACAUUUGGAAGUUGCGCCACGACGGUUAUUUGCCUGAGCGUUCGACGUCCAUCCAGUACCGGUGUUCGUUCUAAGCGAAGAAACGUUUCUAAUAACAGCAUAGGGCUUACUCUCUUGGUCACC